rnacentral:rRNA from 1 species
AAUAGAUACCCGGUAGUCCACGCCGUAAACGAUGAGUGCUAAGUGUUAGGGGGUUUCCGCCCCUUAGUGCUGCAGCUAACGCAUUAAGCACUCCGCCUGGGGAGUACGGUCGCAAGACUGAAACUCAAAGGAAUUGACGGGGGGCCCGCACAAGCGGUGGAGCAUGUGGUUUAAUUCGAAGCAACGCGAAGAACCUUACCAGGUCUUGACAUCCCACUGACCGCUAUGGAGACAUAGUUUUCCCUUCGGGGACAGUGGCGACAGGUGGUGCAUGGUUGCCGUCAGCUCGUGUCGUGAGAUGUUGGGUUAAGUCCCGCAACGAGCGCAACCCUUGAUCUUAGUUGCCAUCAUUUUAGUUGGGCACUUCUAAGGUGACUGCCGGUGACAAACCGGAGGAAGGUGGGGAUGACGUCAAAUCAUCAUGCCCCUUAUGACCUGGGCUACACACGUGCUACAAUGGACGGUACAAACGGUUGCCAACCCGCGAGGGGAGCUAAUCCGAUAAAACCGUUCUCAGUUCGGAUUGUAGGCUGCAACUCGCCUAC